UUCCGAAGAAACAGCUGUAUGAAAAAGGCCAGUUACAGUUGCUGCUGACCGAUAUUUCCUUAGCUGCAACUCUUGGUGGAAGGGAGAUGAAAUUAGCUGUAGGGGAGAUCCAGAAUCUAGUAAGAAGAAAAAACCAGGGAACCGGCACAACAGCACAACAUCAGUAUGAAAUCCUUGUGCCGCAAGAGAGGCAGAUGGAGUGGCCACAGGAGCAUGUUCCAUGACUUUGAGUAUCACAAAAGACUCAGCUAUUCUGGCUGACCUGGACACCAAGUAACAUCCUUCUGGCAGGCCUCAUUGCUGCAUCACUCUUCAAGUUAGCUCGAGUUCCUUCAUCCAACUUUAAAACCAUCAUGUGUACAACCAUGCAGACUGAGUUUUUUUUAAAUCUUACAAGGCCUGAAGUGCUCGCAUAUGCCCAAUAAUUUUGUUCGAAAAGUCCCGCAAACCAGAAGAUUAUUAUUAAAGCGCUUAUUUAGGAUGUUUAGAGCCACGCGAGACAUUUCUAAUGAGCGAAAUGACUCCAA